rnacentral:rRNA from 1 species
GAACGCUAGCGAUAGGCCUAACACAUGCAAGUCAGGGCAGCACAUGAGUAGCAAUACGAUGGUGGCGACCGGCGCACGGGUGAGUAACACGUAUGCAACCUACCUUUAACAGGGGAAUAACCCGUUGAAAAACGGACUAAUACUCCAUAACACAGGGGUCCCGCAUGGGAAUAUUUGUUAAAGAUUAAUCGGUUGAAGAUGGGCAUGCGUUCCAUUAGCUUGUUGGUGAGGUAACGGCUCACCAAGGCCACGAUGGAUAGGGAACUGAGAGGUUUAUCCCCCACACUGGAACUGAGACACGGUCCAGACUCCUACGGGAGGCAGCAGUGGGGAAUAUUGGUCAAUGGAGGCAACUCUGAACCAGCCAAGUCGCCGUGAAGGAUGAAGGUCUUAUGGAUUGUAAACUUCUUUUGCAAGGGAAUAAAGUGGGGGACGUGUCCUCCUUUGCAUGUACCUUGCGAAUAAGGAUCGGCUAACUCCGUGCCAGCAGCGGC